GCACGUCGUGGAGGAUUGCUGGUGUGUGUCCCUGCACUGCGCCCCACUCUGGCAUGCGGCAGCCACACCGCAGGUCUCCGCUCACAGCUACUAUGCACCCACACGAGCCGCCGUCGCGGCGCGAGCUCCGCCUGGCGGCGCACUGCCGCAACCAGCUUUGCGACACUCACUGCCCACGGUCGACCUGUGAGCCACCUGCACCGCCGUGACGCGCUGCUCGAUCCCCUCCAUGGCCUCGUGCUCGCCGCUGUAGUCUCACGCGAGCCCCGCGCUGGCCAUUGCCAUGGCCGCGGAGUGGGGCAAGACUCGUGGAGGUGCGCAUGGGGGGAGCAUAUUGGCUCACGCUCCUCAAUUCUGGUCGGGUGUCGUUGGAUUGGGCGGCGAAGAUGGCGAAUUCCGGCGCCUCAGGUGCCACAGAGAGUAAUGAGUUCCUGGGUGGAUGCUAAGGAAGUAGAGACGAGGACUUGGAUAUAAUUCGAGGUGCCCGACAUUGUUUUCUAGCAAAAAGGGUGGUGCAGUCAUGCGGCUCUUAUAUUUCGAGAAAUAAAACCUUAUGGUUAUAUUGUAAAUUGGUGCUACGACGUCAGGCAAGUGGUGGAUCCCUCAUCCCUGCAUGAAGUCCCAGUUUAGAUAGUAAUACUAUUUAAAUUGACUCAUGACCAACUGUUAGAAUCU